UUGGCCUCAAAUCAGGUAGGACUACCCGCUGAACUUAAGCAUAUCAAUAAGCGGAGGAAAAGAAACUAACAAGGAUUCCCCUAGUAACUGCGAGUGAAGCGGGAAAAGCUCAAAUUUAAAAUCUGGCGGCGUAUUGCU
rnacentral:rRNA from 1 species